rnacentral:rRNA from 1 species
UACGUAGGGCGCGAGCGUUGUCCGGAAUUAUUGGGCGUAAAGAGCUCGUAGGUGGUUUGCUACGUCUGCUGUGAAAACCUAGGGCUUAACCCUGGGCCUGCAGUGGAUACGGGCAGACUAGAGGUAGGUAGGGGAGAAUGGAAUUCCCGGUGUAGCGGUGAAAUGCGCAGAUAUCGGGAGGAACACCGGUGGCGAAGGCGGUUCUCUGGGCCUUACCUGACACUGAGGAGCGAAAGCGUGGGGAGCGAACAGG